rnacentral:lncRNA from 1 species
AGGCGAUCCCAAAUUAUUCCAGCCAGAAGAAAAACAAGACAAUACUUUGGAGCUUGAAAGGAAACAAGGGAAGGUGGUUAAAAUGUGAUCCUAACUAAGGACCCACCCUGCUAAUCACCCAAGUGAGAUCAGCCAACUCUGCUGUGCAGUUUCCCCCUUCUCCUCUCCUGGUACCUGCAGGUUGGGGGCAGUUCUCAACCUAUCAUGCUUUCUAUUUCCCUGCAGCUUUCCUUUUUUUUUUUUUUUUUUUUUGUCUUUUUAGGGCCACACCAGUGGCAUAUGGAGUUUCCCAGGCUAGGGGUCAAAUCUGGGGCUAUAGCUGCUGGCCUACACCACAGCCAUGGCAAGGCCAGAUCCGAGCCACAUCUGCGACCUCCACCAUAGCUCAUGGCAAUGCCAGAUCCUUAACCCACUCAGCGAGGCCAGGAAUUGAACCUGCAUCCUCAUGUUUCCUAGUCGGAUUCAAUUCCACUGCGCCAGGAUGGUAACUCCCACAGCAGCAGCUUUCAUAGCAGCUCUUUUGGCGAUUAAAAUGCUACAAGCUAUAAUUCGGAAGACUGCAAAACGGAAGACCAGUACCAGGUUUCUUAGUAACUGAGGGACUCAGCCUGAAGUUUACUACUGGGGACUGUUUGCUCUACAGCAUACAGGCCAGAGGGGCGAAAUUGGAGGGCAAAGGGGUUGUUUCCUUUUCACUCUGUAACUAAUUGAUUUGCCCUCGUGCGCCUCAAGAUGACACUCAUUGAUGGUCUGUGCAGUAUGGCCUACGCUAUUUUGCAGCUGUGCUGGGCAAUAUUACAUCAAGUUCCUUACUCCCUGAUGUAGCACGCACCAUCUUGCAAAGGCCUAGAAGCUCCGCGCUCGGAAAACGUGCGCUGGGAAGCAAAGCCGGAAGAGUGCGGCCGCAGCGGCGCUGCUCGCCGAAGUCCAAUCAGAGAAGAUCCCAUCAAGGGAGGGGAGCCUUACAAAGUGUUAAAAAGGGCUUUAACUGGGUGGGUCGCUCCAGUGCGUCUACAGGACUCGGGGAAGGAGGGAGGCAGUUCUUGGUCAUCAGGCGUCCCUUGCUCAUUAGGAGACCCUUGCUCGUCAGGAGACGCAUCCUAGUCAUGUCUUCAAAGGGUGAGUCCUUGGCGGAGUUCCAUGGUGGCUCAGCGGGUUAAGGGUGUGGUAUUGUCACUUCUGUGGCCCUGGUUAUAACUGUGGCAUGGGGUCCAUCUCUGGCCCGGGGAACACUGACAUAGCCAAAAAUGAAAAGAAAAAAAAAAAGUGAAUCCUUAGCAGGAGGGCCUGCGUGGGCAACGGGCCAAUGGUAGGUGAGGCUGGGCAGCGGGUCUGGGCAGGGCUUACCUGGAGUGAAUUGAAGUUUUCUGUUUGCUGUGACAUUUGGUGCUGAGACUUGGAAAGGCGGAAAGCUAACCAAACCAGACCCUAAAACGGCCUUGGAGAAGGAGCUCAGGGUAGCCUUUGUCACCGGUGGCGGUACAGUGCAUUUUCUUUUUUCUUUUUUUUUUUUUUUUUGCCAUUUCUUGGACCCUCCCCCCCGCGGCAUAUGGAGGUUCCCAGGCUAGGGGUCCAAUCGGAGCAGUAGCCACCGGCCUACACCAGAGUCACAGCAACGCAGGAUCUGAGCCGCUCUGCAACCUACACCACAGCUCGCGGCAACGCCAGAUCCUUAACCCAGGGAUCGAACCCGCAACCUCAUGGUUCCCAGUCGGAUUGGUUAACCACUGCGCCACGACGGGAACUCCAUGCAUUUUCAAUUCACAACCUUGCUUGGCCUGGUAUUUUGCCCAUUUUUUCAUCAUGAAGUCAAUUCCAUUGAGGGCUGAGCCAGUGGCGAGUCCAUCUUGGGGGCCCAAGUCUAAGACUGAGGGCGGGGGAGCUUCCUCAGAUCACAACGGGAAAUGCAAAUGUUAAUGUAUAGAAAUUCCCAGAUGUUAGAUUUUUCUUAGAUGACAUUUCCUCGUAUUCGUUUAUUUAUUUAUUUUUAUUUCCUGGUUUUAGUUUUUGACAUCUCCUAAUAUGUGUGUUUGGGGUCCUUGUUUAGGUGGCAGAUACAUGUUUGUAGGGGUCUUGACCCAUCUGGGCAUACCCAGAUACCCAGGCCAGUAUCUGGACCUGUGCAUUGAGUUGUGAUUAUAGUUUAUAUGGCAGAUGCCCCCAAAAGGUGUUCAGGGUGCAUUGACUUCUGCGGUGUCUGAAAGACAUGUGGCUGGGAGCCCUGAGUUGGGAGCCGGUUCUGCCUCCAUAUUUCAUGAGAUUCCUGGGGCGGGCGCGGUGGGGGGGGGGGACCAGCAGCCAAAUAUUCGGAGCAGUCCUGGGAGAGCUCUGCAAAGGGGCCUAAGCUUUAUGCCUGGAAACAAAGUCCUUGUCGGAAGGCUGCAGGUUCUACACUGACCUGAACUUCCAGGAGCAAGUCAGAAGGGUGCGUGGAGGUGGAUAGGUCAAGUGUGAACCUAAAUGUGAGGCCUGAGACCAAAGUCUCUUUUCUUAUUCUCUAUCUGUCGCAGAGCCCCAAGAUGGCCCAGAGCCCCAAGAUGGCCCAGAGCCCCAACAAGGCCGGAGGCGCAAGAGAACCAGGUUCAACAAGAACCAAUACAAGAUUCUUAUUGAUGCCUUUGAAGCUGACGCUUACCCUGAUAUUAACGUCCGAGUAGAACUCGCAAAUCAAAUACAAAUUCCUGAGCCAAGAAUCCAGGUAAAAGCAUAAAUCUGUGCUCUUCCAGAGGAGGGUGGAUCUGGGUGAGGAAUCAAUGCAUGUGUUUUAAUACUGGCUUAAGAAACUCUUAAUCCUCUUAAUAUCCAUGUGAGGUGGGCAUUAUCAUCCCCAUUUACCAGAUUAGGAAAACAAAGGUGUCAUAAUUUAGGUUACUACUUUGGCAAGGGGUAGAGUCUAAACUGGCUUCUAUGGGUUAUACUGUCAAAUAUUUACUAUAUUAGACUUUGAAACUGAGAAACUUCAAAAUAUUUGCUAAUUUAUUAAAAAUAACAAUAAUAAACUCAUUGCUUGUUAAUUUAAGUAACUAUCUUUCAAGAAAAGCAACCACAGGAAUUCCUGUUGUAGCUCAGCAGGUUACAAGCCUGACUAUUAUUCAUGAGGACAUAAGUUCCAUCCUUGGCCUCACUCGGUGAGUUAAGGAUCCGGCGUUGCCGUGAGCUAUGGUGUAGGUUGCAGACUCAGCUCAGAUCCUGUGUUACUGUGGCUGUGGUGUAGGCUGGCAGCUGCAGCUCCAAUUUAACCCCUAUCCUGGGAACUUCAUAUGCCAU